GAGGCCUGACCUUGGGAGAGCAGACCCCAGGAGGCUGGAGAACCGUCAGAUUCCACCUUCCAACUGCAAAGACGCGUCCAGAGAGCAGUGUGGGUGUCCUGAUAAACGUCAGGUCCGGACAUUUCUUUCCACGCUCAGAUGCUAUCCAGAUGACUCAUAAUCUAACGUUGUUGGCUUCAACACAGAUUGAAAGGAAGAGAGAAAAAUCAAACUGAGGCUUUGGGGGGCUUAAAGAAGAUAUCGGAUUGGAGUAUUGUUUCUAAUGUGCAACAGCAGCAAAAGCAACCAAUAAAAAUGCAACCUGUGGAUAA